rnacentral:rRNA from 1 species
AGUGAACGCUGGCGGUAGGCCUAACACAUGCAAGUCGAACGGCAGCACAGUAAGAGCCUGCUCUUACGGGUGGCGAGUGGCGGACGGGUGAGGAAUACAUCGGAAUCUACUUUUUCGUGGGGGAUAACGUAGGGAAACUUACGCUAAUACCGCAUACGACCUACGGGUGAAAGUAGGGGAUCUUCGGACCUUGCGCGAUUGAAUGAGCCGAUGUCGGAUUAGCUAGUUGGCGGGGUAAAGGCCCACCAAGGCGACGACCCGUAGCUGGUCUGAGAGGAUGAUCAGCCACACUGGAACUGAGACACGGUCCAGACUCCUACGGGAGGCAGCAGUGGGGAAUAUUGGACAAUGGGCGCAAGCCUGAUCCAGCCAUACCGCGUGGGUGAAGAAGGCCUUCGGGUUGUAAAGCCCUUUUGUUGGGAAAGAAAAGCAGCAGGUUAAUACCCCGCUGUUCUGACGGUACCCAAAGAAUAAGCACCGGCUAACUUCGUG